rnacentral:rRNA from 1 species
UACGGAAGGCAGCAGUGGGGAAUAUUGCACAAUGGGCGCAAGCCUGAUGCAGCCAUGCCGCGUGUAUGAAAAAGGCCUUCGGGUUGUAAAGUACUUUUCAGUCGUGAGGAAGGUGUUAAGGUUAAUAACCUUAGCAAUUGACGUUAGCGACAGAAGAAGCACCGGCUAACUCCGUGCCAGCAGCCGCGGUAAUACGGAGGGUGCGAGCGUUGUCCGGAUUUAUUGGGUUUAAAGGGUGCGUAGGCGGCCUUGUAAGUCCGGGGUGAAAGCCCGUUGCUCAACACGGAACUGCCCUGGAUACUGCGAGGCUUGAGUACAGACGAGGUUGGCGGAAUGGACCGAGUAGCGGUGAAAUGCAUAGAUACGGUCCAGAACCCGAUUGCGAAGGCAGCUGACUGGGCUGUACUGACGCUGAGGCACGACAGCGUGGGGAGCGGAACAGGGAUUAGAUACC